rnacentral:rRNA from 1 species
GAUGAACGCUAGCGGGAGGCCUAACACAUGCAAGCCGAGCGGUAGGGUCUCUUCGGAGACUUGAGAGCGGCGUACGGGUGCGUAACACGUGUGCAACCUGCCUCUAUCUGGGGGAUAGCCUUCCGAAAGGAAGAUUAAUACCCCAUAAUAUAAUGAUUGGCAUCAAUUAUUAUUGAAAACUCCGGUGGAUAGAGAUGGGCACGCGCAAGAUUAGAUAGUUGGUGGGGUAACGGCCCACCAAGUCGAUGAUCUUUAGGGGUCCUGAGAGGGAGAUCCCCCACACUGGUACUGAGACACGGACCAGACUCCUACGGGAGGCAGCAGUGAGGAAUAUUGGACAAUGGGUGGAAGCCUGAUCCAGCCAUCCCGCGUGAAGGACGACGGCCCUAUGGGUUGUAAACUUCUUUUGUACAGGGAUAAACCUCCCCUCGUGAGGGGAGCUGAAGGUACUGUACGAAUAAGCACCGGCUAACUCCGUG